GAUGAACGCUAGCGGCAGGCCUAACACAUGCAAGUCGAGGGAUAAGCCUUCGGGCUACGACCGGCGCACUGGUGCGUAACGCGUAUACAAUCUGCCUUUUAUCCGGGGGAUAGCCCGAAGAUAUUUGGAUUAAUACCCUAUGGUAUAAGAACACGGUAUCGUGCACUUAUUAACGCUACGGCGGUAAAAGCUGAGUAUGCGUUCUAUUAGCUAGUUGGAGAGGUCACGGCUCCCCAAGGCUACGAUAGAUAGGUGUUCGGAGAGUGAGGUCCCCCACACCGGAACUGAGAUACAGACUCGUCUCCUAGGGGAGGCAGCAGUGCGGUAUACAGGACGAGGAUCGGAAGACUGAUCCAGCCAUGCCGCGUGCAGGAUGACGGCGUUAUGGGUUGUAAGCUGCUUUUGUAAGGGAAGAAUAAGGGGUACGUGUACUGUGAUGACGGUACCUAACGAAUAAGCAACGGCUAACUCCGUG
rnacentral:rRNA from 1 species